GGCGAAGCCUGAUGGAGCACGCCGCGUGCAGGAUGAAGGCCUUCGGGUUGUAAACUGCUUUUAUAAGUGAGGAAUAUGACGGUAACUUAUGAAUAAGGAUCGGCUAACUACGUGCCAGCAGCCGCGGUCAUACGUAGGAUCCGAGCGUUAUCCGGAGUGACUGGGCGUAAAGAGUUGCGUAGGUGGUUUGUUAAGUAGAUAGUGAAAUCUGGCGGCUCAACCGUACAGGCUAUUAUCUAAACUGACAAACUCGAGAGUGGUAGAGGUUACUGGAAUUUCUAGUGUAGGAGUGAAAUCCGUAGAUAUUAGAAGGAACACCAAUGGCGUAGGCAGGUAACUGGACCAUUUCUGACACUAAGGCACGAAAGCGUGGGGAGCGAACCGGAUUAGAUACCCGGGUAGUCCACGCCGUAAACGAUGGAUACUAGCUGUUGGAGGUAUCGACCCCUUCAGUAGCGAAGCUAACGCGUUAAGUAUCCCGCCUGUGGAGUACGGUCGCAAGACUAAAACAUAAAGGAAUUGACGGGGACCCGCACAAGCGGUGGAUCGUGUUCUUUAAUUCGAUGCUAAACGAAGAACCUUACCAGGGCUUGACAUCCAGGGAAUUUUUGGGAAACCAAUUAGUGCCUUUUGGAACCCUGUGACAGGUGAUGCAUGGCCGUCGUCAGCUCGUGUCGUGAGAUGUUUGGUUAAGUCCAUCAACGAGCGCAACCCUUGUACUUAGUUGAAUUUUUCUAGGUAGACUGCCCCGGUAACGGGGAGGAAGGAGGGGAUGAUGUCAGGUCAGUAUUUCCCUUACGUCCUGGGCUAGAAACACGAUACAAUGGCAAGUACAAUGCGCAGCGAAGCCGCGAGGUGG
rnacentral:rRNA from 1 species